GACGAACGCUGGCGGCGUGCUUAACACAUGCAAGUCGAACGGAAAGGCUCCAGCUUGCUGGAGUACUCGAGUGGCGAACGGGUGAGUAACACGUGGGUAAUCUGCCCUGCACUCUGGGAUAAGCCUGGGAAACUGGGUCUAAUACUGGAUAUGACCUUUCUCCUUAUGGGGUUUGGUGGAAAGUUUUUCGGUGCAGGAUGAGCCCGCGGCCUAUCAGCUUGUUGGUGGGGUGAUGGCCUACCAAGGCGACGACGGGUAGCCGGCCUGAGGGGGUGAUCGGCCACAUUGGGACUGAGAUACGGCCCAGACUCCUACGGGAGGCAGCAGUGGGGAAUAUUGCACAAUGGGCGGAAGCCUGAUGCAGCGACGCCGCGUGAGGGAUGACGGCCUUCGGGUUGUAAACCUCUUUCAGCAGGGACGAAGCGUAAGUGACGGUACCUGCAGAAGAAGCACCGGCUAACUAUGUG
rnacentral:rRNA from 1 species